GAUAUCUGAAAGCACUCGGAAAAUUCACCUUUCUUCGGAAAAUUACAGUCUCAUUCUUGGACUGGAAUGAUUCUGAUCAGAAGGGGAAGACCCUCACUUCACAUUUCUCUAUGAAGAAAUAGAGGAACAGAGAGGGACUCUCUUUGGCCCACUGCAUACACAGGAAGUGGCAAAAAGCUGUAUGGUGGCUCGGGAGGAAUUGAAAGUUCUUGGGCAAAUCAGUCCGACCUGACUCUCUGCAUCAGCAAGCCAGAAUAAUAAUACUGGCUAAAUUUAUUUGAAUCCCAUCUGGAUUUACUUACUGGCAAGUGUAAAGUGUUUCCAAAAUACCAAAUAGUAUAUAGGGCAUCCAAGCAGCUUCAGUUUCAGUGGCCCCAACCUUCCCCUUCUUCCGCUUCAGUGUACACUGCUUACUGGGAUGGGAUAUACUGUAGUAAACCCCCAAAUCCCUGGACUCCCACACCCGUGCCUGAUGGUGUUCUUAGGUGCUCGUGCAGUUCCUGCUGGCCAAGACCUGCCUUUGGGCCACCUAUUCUCUGUUUACUUCCAACAACUACUUUGAUGAUCCUAAAGAAAAUUUUGUUUUCAGCUUUUUGGAUACCUGAAUAAAAACAUACAGACACUCUGAAAAUUAAAAAAAAAAUAAUUGCUACUGAAACAUAUUAACUUUCCCAGUACACAAUUUUGGGAACUCUUACCCCCUACCCACAAGGCCUAUCACACCUUGCUAAUUCGCAUACUCAAGGCUCCUCUGUCCAUGGAAUUCUCCAGGCAAGAAUACUGGAGUGGGGGGGGGGGUUGCCAUUCCCUUCUCCGGGGGAUCUUCCUGACCCAGGGAUUGAACCCAGGUCUCCUGUGCUGCAGGCAGAUUCUUUACUUUCUGAGCCACUGGAGAAGCCCUGAGAAAUAGGUGUGCCUCUCCUGUUUUAAUUUUGGUCCACAUUACAAAUCAUGUAAUUAAUCUCAGAGCCCUCUUUGUACUGACUGCUAGGAGAGUCAGAUCUAUGUGUGUGGCUUACAUGAGGACUUGACACACAUUUAUUUGACAUAUAUACUUCAAUCCCAGCUUCAUCUUUUAUUUCCUACUUUGCAUUUCCUUCUUCUCAUUCAAUUACUAUUAACACUGUGUUUUAAUGUGUUUUCAAGUUGCCUUAAACACUUGCAUGCAUAACAAGAAUGAUUGAAGAAGAC